AUUGAACGCUGGCGGCAGGCCUAACACAUGCAAGUCGAGCGAGCGGCGGACGGGUGAGUAAUGUAUGGGGACUGCCCGAUAGAGGGGGAUAACUACUGGAAACGGUAGCUAAUACUGCAUACUAUCGGAUAACCCAUAUGGGAUUAGCUAGUAGGUGAGGUAAUUGCCAACCUAGGCGACGAUCCCUAGCUGGUCUGAGAGGAUGAUCAGCCACACUGGGACUGAGACACGGCCCAGACUCCUACGGAGGCAGCAGUGGGGAAUAUUGCACAAUGGGCGCAAGCCUGCUGCAGCCAUGCCGCGUGUAUGAAGAAGGCCCUAGGGUUGUAAAGUACUUUCAGUCGGGAGGCGUUACCGACAGAAGAAGCACCGGCUAACUCCGUGCCAGCAGCCGCGGUAAUUC
rnacentral:rRNA from 1 species